AUGGCUCCGAAAGCCGACAAGGGGAAGGGCAUGAAAUCGGUCGAGGUGCAGCGGCUCGCGGCGCUGCGAAAGGAGCGGGCCAUCUUCCCCCCUCAGCUUACCGCGAAGGAGCUGAGGGAGUACUACUACCUCUUCUGGUCGACGGAGACGCGAGCGCAUCCGCGCACGAAGGUACUCCCGGCUGCCGCUUCGGAACUGGCUCCGAACGGAUACCCCUUCUUUGCGCUGUUCUUCUACUGCGGGCUCUGCCCGCCCUUCUCUGAAUUUUUCUGUGACAUCAUGAACACCUAUGGGUUCCGCCUCCUUGACUUCACCCCCAACGCCGUUCUGACCAUGGCAGUUUUCGCACAUCUCUGCGAAAACUUUGUCGGAGUCCAUCCAAACGUAGCUCUUUUUCGCCACUUCUUUAUGCCCCGAGUCGAGAGAGGAGAGCCUUUAUCCGGCGGAAUCGCCUGGAUCUCGAGAGUCGGCAAGAAGGAAGCUUAUCUGGAGGGAGAGCUCCGCAGCAAGUGGGAGGAAUGGAGAGCAGAGUGGUGCUGGAUUGUCGAGGAGAACCCGCAGCCAUUUACCGCCCUGCGACAAGCCCCAAUAGCGCGUGGCAACGAUUGGAGCAACGUGGCCCCAGAAGACGAUAGGCUGAAGAUUGCCGUCACCCGGAUCCUUUGCCUCAGGCUUGUCGGGCUCACCGUAGGCGUCGUUGGCGCAGAUUUUCUUCGCUGCCGCAUCGCCCCCCUGCAGGAGAGGAGGAGACCCGCCUGGGAGUUCCAGAACUCGGCGGAUAUCAUGAGGCUGCGCCCGGGCCUCAACUUCAACUUCACUGUCCUGGAGCUGGACGCGAUGCUCCUGGAACUGUUCAAGCGCGAUCCUCAACAUCCAUUCAUGUUGCCGAGGGGUGUCAUUCCAUUGUGCAACAACUCCUCGCUCGACCGCAUCCGUGCAAUGAUGCCGCUGUGCGACUCGCAUGGAAUUGUCCCAACUUGGCAAGAGCCGGCAGACGCCGUCGUGCAGGAGUUCUUUGACGGCUUGGUUGAAGUGCCGGUCCGCUCCGACGAGCGGAAGAGCCUUACUCGCGACACCACCGACGCGGAGAUGCAGCGCAUCGCCACUAGGCUGGAAGAGGCGGCGGCAGCCGCUGCCGCGGGUGAGUUUGGAUUCACCGUGGAGGAGGCAGAGGCAGCAGAGGCGGCAAGCCUCGCCGAGCGCGAGGAGUUUGCCGGCGAGGGAGAGCUUGUCGGGCCCGAAGAUGAGUCGAGCGAGCCCGGCGAGGGAGAGCUUGUCGGACCCGAACCUUCAGACAGCUUGCCGCAAGCGGAGCCCCCAGCUCCACCAAGAAGGCGUCUCCGCAAGGCCGUGGACGUAGCGGGGCGGCAGACGAGUCAACAGCCGCCGUGUCGCGCGACACGCUCUACCGCGGCAAGCACUGUUGCCGCGGGAGCGCCUCAUGCCGCUGCGGCAACUGGAGCGGGGUCUUCCCGGCCCACCGCUACUGCUCCUGCCAAGCGGACAAGGGAAACUACUCCUCCGCCUUGUUGCACCGGAGGCGAGCCGGACUUCGAUCUCUCCGUGCUCAGCUCCGACGAGGAAGAAGAAGAGUAA
rnacentral:rRNA from 1 species